ACGCCUUCUUUGGCCUUUGCGCCUGCGCGGGUGACCGCGGUUACCCGGGCCGCUCACCACCGUGACACCCCUGCGGGCCGCAAAACGGUUUGGGAAAGCACUUUUUAGGGUGAAGUCAUUUCAGCAAUGAUCUAGAGGGUCCCCAGGACCACCACAUCCCUCUUGCUGGUGAGCAGUGCCUGACUAUUAUCAACAACCAACCCAUAAGCCUUUAUGGACUAACUACCUAUUCCCUGAUUUCUCCUGCUUUACCUAACCCUAACACCAGCCCACCUUUAUUUAUAGCCAAUGUAAAUUUAAAGAACUUACUUUUCUUGAGACCCUUCAGUGCUUUCUCUAGCUAACAUCAAUAAAGCUCAAAAAACCCUUCUAUUUCAGA